rnacentral:rRNA from 1 species
UACGUAGGUGGCAAGCGUUGUCCGGAUUUACGUGGCGUAAAGAGCGCGCAGGCGGUCAUUCAAGUCGCGUGUGAAAGCCCCCCGGCUCAACUGGGGAGGGUCACGCGAUACUGAUCGACUCGAAGGCAGGAGAGGGUAGUGGAAUUCCCGGUGUAGUGGUGAAAUGCGUAGAUAUCGGGAGGAACACCAGUGGCGAAGGCGACUACCUGGCCUGUUCUUGACGCUGAGGCGCGAAAGCUAGGGGAGCAAACGGGG